rnacentral:lncRNA from 1 species
CUACAUUGUGGAUGCUAUUGUUAUUGUGUUAGAAGAAAUAAACCUAUAUUUAUAGAGUCCUAAAACCUUUCCUACUAGAAAAGGAGUCCUAAAAGGAGAGAAUAAACCAAAUAUAAAAUAAUAUUAUAUUUUCCUUUCAAGAAAAGUAAAAACAUUUAUGGUAAUGUUUUGUUUUUUCUUUAAGGAAAAAUAAAUCUUAAAUUAUGGUAAGAAAAUCAGGG